rnacentral:lncRNA from 1 species
UAUUGUUUUGGCAGAACUAAGUUCAGAAAAUCUCAGAACCUGUUUUAAGAUCAUCAAUGGCUAUAUCUUUUUAUCAUCAACAGAAUUUUUACAGGUAUGUUGGAGUAGUGUUUGUAAGAAAUUAAGUAGUUAUUAUGUUUAUUAUUAUUAUUGUUUAUUAUUGUCAUUUCAAAAUUUAAGAUUAUUUUGUUAAUUUAAUGGGGAAAAAUUCUCUGUGAGCAUUCCCCACUGCAAGGAAGAUGUGAUACGUGCCGCUCCAUUGUUAUAUAAUGCAGGAACUGUGCUAUUUAAAUAAAUAUAUCCUCAUUUCUAUAAAAAUCAGUGUAUCAAUAAACUAUUUUUGUGAGGCAUAAUCUUUUUUUCCUUAAUCCUAAGACUUUUAGUUGAAAAACUUCAUAUGCUUAGACCUUUAGCAUAUACUUCUCAAAUAGGUAAUAAUGAGUCUCAAAGUGAUUUUAUGCCUUUUUGAUAUUACAAAUAUAUUCUUAUAUUGUCUUUGGAUUGAAUUUCAGACAUAUGCAGUGGGUCUUUGUCAGUCCUUUUGUGAGCUGUUAAAGGAAAUUACUACAGAAGGUCAAGUUCAAGUGCUCAAGGUAUUGUCAUCUUUUGUCACCAUCAGAUGAUUUAAAAAAUUACCUGUUAAGUUUAAUAUCUCUGAAUGUUUUGUGAAGUUGUACCUUCAUUUGGUUGUGGUUGUUGGCAAGAAGAGUUGCCGUAAUUCUGAAUGUGGUAUUUUGUUUUAGCAAUAUUCAUUUGGUUUAAUCUCAAAUUUGUACAGAAAGAUCACUGGAAAUCUUGUUAAAAUGUAAUUGUAGAUCUUCAACAAUCUCAGCUAAUUGGGAUGUUGCCUGUUCUGAGAAUUCAUUUUGUGUUGCAAGGUUUUAAAAACCAACUUUGUCUGAAGACUGUCUUCAGUUUGUUAGCCUACUUUUGGGUCAGAUUUUUCACUGUAUAAUUUGGUAGUUUUAAUUUCAUUUAGGUGUUGAAGUUAGAGUAUUAAGUUUGUUGAGGUUAUGUAUAAUUAAUAACCAAAAGCCUCAAAGUUAUAUAUUAUCUUUAUGUAGCAUAUCUAUGUUAAAGAUAUAGUGUUAAAUAUAUAUUUAUUUACAUGUAAACAAAUACGUGCAUAAAUCUGUAUUAAAACUUACCUUUACAUGUGCAUAUUAUACGUACAUAUUUUAUGUAUAGACUUUGAGAGAAGGUGUAGCUGUUGAAUUUCUAAUUUCUUAGUUUGUUCUAAGUCAGAUAUGAGUUGACUUCUGGCCUUUUGGAUGGUUCAUGCCUGUAAUAUUAGUGACCUGGAAGUCUGAUGACGCAGGAGGAUCACAAGUUUGAGGUCGUCCUCAGUCAUUUAUUCUGUAGGUUAAGAAUCAGCAAAUUUUUCUAUUAAGAACCAGGUAGUAAAGAUUUUAGGUUUUAUGAGUCAUACAAUCUUUGUCUCAGCUAAUUCAAGCUUGCUAUGGUAGUAUGCAUGUAAUCAUAGAUGAUAUGUAAAUGAAUGACUAUGGCUAUGUCUCAGUAAUGACCUUGUUUACAAAAUCCUGCAGUGGAGUUUGGUCCAAGGGCCUAAAUUUGCCAACUUCUGGUAUUUGGUUGUUAAUACUCUUUUCUGCUAGGCCUAGGUGAUAAGAAAAUGUCAAUUCCUACUCUUAAGUAAUUCAGUUUUAGGGGGAAGAGGAGACAGGUAAACAACUGCUCAGUAUUCAGUGUUAUAUAAAAUUAGUGAGUUUGAAUCAGAAGCAUCUCAAAAUCACCUGAUGGACUUCUUGAAAAUUUAGGUAGAACACAGGACAUAAUAGUUUUUUGUUGUUGUUGUUUUUCAAAAAGUUUCUCAUGUGAUUUUUGUAAGUACUUCUUGGUAGGAAUCAUUGUUAACUGUUUAUAUCACUCUAAGAAUAUAGAAGUGGUCACUUAACUCAGCAUUUUGCAGAGAACUGUUUUUUAGGAAGAAGGAUUUAAAAUGUGAGCUGAGUUUUUAAAAGUUGUAGGGGUCACUACUGCCAGAAUAAAACAUAAUUAUUUGCUAAUUCAGGCAACCCUAAGAAGUAUGAAUAAGACUAAUAAAAUGUGUAAUACUACACAGAAGUGAAUAAGAUUAAGGACAGAGAAAAUACUGUAGGAUUCUCUGUUCAGGGUGGGGAUAAUGAUGUUAUUUAAAACACUUUUAGUGCUUGUUAACUGGAGUUAUAUUUCAGCUUAACUGAAGCGUUAAUUUAAAAAUUUUUGAGAAAAGGAAGGUUCUUGAGGAGAUCAUUAAGGACUGUCUUGAUAUCCUAGGGAUAUAUAGCAAAGUACAUGACAACUUUGGUAGUUUAAAACAUCAGAAAUUUUACCUAUAAUGUUUAUUAAUUUUAUCAUUCAAAGUCAAGCUGUAGAUAGGGCCCAUACUAUCUCUGUAAAGACCCCAGGAAAAUCAAUUUCAAGUGUAUCUCUUAGUUUCUGGUGAUCAUUGGCAAUUUUUUUUUUUUUUUUUUUUUUUUUGGCUUUUUUUGGGUUUUUAGAUGAAUCACCCACUUCAAUCUCUGCCUCACAUGACAUCUCUCCACCCUUCUGUUUUUAUAUUUUCUUAUAAGGACACUAGUAAGGAUGAAUUUAGAGCCAACUCUAAUAUCUUCAUUUACUGGGAUUAUUCGUGCAAAGGCUCUUUUUCCAAAUAAGGUCACUGUCCAGUCACAUGUACCAGAGGUUAGGACUUCAACAUACUCUUUGCGGAGGUGGGGGAUAGACAGCACAGAGACAAUUCAGCUCAUAACAGGAACUUACUACUAAAAAAGUAAAAUUACUUUUGUGUGUGGAAAGGUAGUGAGGGAAACUUGGUCUGAGUAGGUUUUGUAGAUAAAGGAAUCCAAUGGAAGAGAAAAUGGUUCACCAAACCACAGUGGCAUACAUCUGUCAUCCCACAGCUCAGGAGACUGAGGCAGGAGGAUUACAAAUUUGAGGCCAGCCUGUCUCAAAAUUUAAAACAUUGAAAAGGAGGAGAGAUGUAGCUCAGUAGUAAAGUGCCCUUAUUAAAAAAAAAAGAGAGAAAAACAGAAAGAAUGGACAAUGAUUAUAGAUUAUAUAAAGGAUUGAGGUUACUAAUCUAGAGUGUAUAUGGAAGGUUUGUGUGGAAAAGAGGCAAGAGUUUUUGUUUUCUGAAAGAGUUGGCAAGAAUGGACAAUAAUUGAAGUUGUAUAUCAUGUUAGGUAAAGAACACAGGAAGAGUUGAAAUAAGAACAGUUUUUGGUUAGUGCUGAUUUUCCACAAAAGUCCAUUUAUCAAAUAUAUUUUUCAGAACUUUGUCUUAAUUUUACUGUUUUAUAUUUGAAUUCAAAUAGAAAUUUAGAACCAAAAUAAAGACAGUAAAUAAAAUAUAUGGUAGAACUCGUUUUCUUAAUUUUGGCUUAAUUCUUUUGUUUCUUUUUUAGAGCAAGGAGUUUACUAAAGAAUGAGAAUAUAUGCCACCAAAAAAGCAGGUGGACUGGGAAGGAGUUAAUAAUAGGAAUCUGUGCAUGUGGCUUAUUGAGACCCUGGAUACCUCAACCCUGGUCUGCCGCACUUAUCUGUCAGUCUUUACCAUAUUAGUUUUAAUCUUUUAUAGCUCCAAAACUUACAAGAAACAUUAGAUAUAUUGUUUACUAAAAUGUUUUUGUGAAUUUUUAUUGCAUUUACGUCUUUACCAAAUUGACAUAGUAGCAAUAUAUAAUGGUAUUGAAGAACUUCAUCUGUCUUCCACAAUCUCAGCUUUAAGCUAUCUUUUCCAUUGGUGACAAUUUCUUCUUAGAAGUGGGGUCAGUAACAAAGAACUGACACUUUGGACUUAAUUCUGAUUGAAGAAAAAGUGAUUGGAAACAUGGAAGUAAUCAAAACAAGAGAAAAUUGCUAGGUCAUUUUUUUACUUGUAUGUAGAUUGUGUGUGUGUGUGUGUGUGUGUGUUUUCAGUCUUUUUCUUCCAGAAGAUCUCUCCUAACUUAUAAGCUUCUCCAUUACCCAGUGUUCACUGAAUAUGUGUUCUGUUUUCUCAGAAUACAUACAUAAAAUUUGAAGGCAGGGAAUCCAGAGUUUUUAUGUUAAAUAUUGCACAGCAAUAGAAAUGCCAUUUCAAGCCUGAUGGUAAUUCAUUUGGAAUUUUGUCCUUGCCCUGUGUCUUUGUUUGCACAUCCAGCGCUGCUGCUUAUAAAGCUCUUGAGAAUACUCUGGGCUUCAGUUUCCUCAUUUAUUUUAUAAGGAGUUAUGCCAAAUGAUUUUUAAUAAUCUGUAACUAUGCAAUAUUUGAAAUUUAUGUUUUAAUUAUAAUUCAUGUAUUUUAAAUGAUUAAGAAAAUAGAUCAUUUCUCACAUUUGAUUUGACAGCUGUUUUUGUUUUAAGGGUUUCUGCAACAUUAUUACUAGUAAAGUAAUUGUUGAAAGACAAUUUGUGAGUUAUUUGAAAUAGUCAUUGCAAAACUUUUCAUUAAGUAUUAGACAAGGCCCUGGGUUUGAUACCCAGUACAACAAAAAAGAAAAGAAAAAGAAGGCAAGAUUUUAGGAUGUUUUAAGGAGGAUAUUUAGUUCCUUUUUACUACUUUUUUUUUUUUUGGUACUGGGGAUCGAGCUCAGGGGCCCUUAACCACUGAGCCACAUCCCCAGCCCUUUUUAUAUUUUUGUUUAGAGACAGGGUCUUGCUGAGUUGCUUAGGGCCUCUAAGUUGCUAAGACUGAUCUUGAAUUCAAGGAUCUCCUGCCUUAGCCUCCUGAACCGUGGGCAUUACGGGCAUGCACCACUGCACCUGACUUUAUUAUUUCUUUUUAACUCACAACAUAGGAGGUAGCAUGUCAUGUAAGACUGGACUGAUGAGAGACUGGCAGGUUAGAACAUUGGCUUGGAUAUUUCAUAGCUGUGUGAUAUGGGCAAAUUACUCUCUCAGUUUUCAUCUAUAAAACAGGGGUAAAAACUUUACCUACUUCUUAGGUAAAGUUAGGUAACAUGUUGGUUAUUUUUAUGUAAUUAUGUAGCUAUUUUAUGUAAUCUUCCUCUGGGGAAAAUAAGCUCUACACGUGUAGACAAUUUUAUUUGGAUACUAGAUCUUAGGCUAUUUAUAAAACAAGGCAAACCAAGUUGUUCUAUCUCAUUUUUUUUUGACUAUCUCUUCUAAAUAAAUGCUUAAAUAAAGAUUAUAAGUUUACUUUAAAAACUAAGCAGGUGAUUUAUACAAUGAUAGUAGAUUAUUAGCAAGAACUACAGCCUGGUGUGGUGGCACAUACCUGUAAUCCCAGCGACUUAGGCAGCUGAGGCAGGAGGAUUGCAAGUUCAAAGCCAACCUCUGCAAUUUAGUGAGGCCCUAGGCAACCAACUUAGCAAGACCCUGUCUCAAAAUAAAAAAAUAUAAAAGGACUGGGAAUAUUGCUCAGUGCUUAAGUACCCCUGGGUUCAAUCUCGGGACCAUAAAUAAAUAAAUAAAUAAAUAGCUACAUAUCUAUCUCAUUUGACUCUUAAUUAAAAUUAAUCAUGUUUCUUUCUUUUCAGAAUAAUACAGUAUUUCAGUUUUUUUUCCUUUUGGUGCCAUGGAUUAAACCUAGGGGUGCUUAACCACUGACCCACAUCUCCAGCCAUUUUUAUUUUUUAUUUUGAGACAAAGUCUUACUAAUUUGCUGAGGCUGGCUUUGCACUUAUGAUCCUCCUUCCUCAGCCUCCCAGUUCCCUGGGAUUAUAGGCAUGCACCACUGAGCCUGGCUCAAAAUAAUUUUUAUUAUGGAAAAUUCCAAACUUAUAUACUGUGCACUACCAUUAUAAUUUUAAUAGCAAAUACUCAUUUCUUUUCCCUUUUCCUUUGAAGUGUGGAGACAGUGAUAUUUUUAUAUCUCCCUCAAUUGUAUCUAACUUUUUUGGUUGUAUGAUUCAGCACAAAUCAGGUACAAUCCAAAUACAUAGUAAGAUAUUUGUAACAUUUAAUAUAGAUUAGAGAUUAAGGCAGUUUCUCUGUAAGUAUGCCAAUAGUAAGGUCAUUAAUAGGGUACUAAUACUUGAAUUAAAAAUUGAGAUCUGAUGAUGUGAUGGACCAUAUUUUUAUAUACUUAUUGAUUGCUAUACCUAAAAUUCUUUAUUUGACUUGAAAUCUGAAACUGAAUUUUGUUUUCUUAAUAAAUGGCUACUAGGAAUAUACUAGUUACCACAAUUUUGUGUGUGUGUGUGUGUGUUUGUGUUUAUGUAAAGGAAUAUUUUAGGACAAUGGCACUUUUAUGCCAAUUGAAGGGUAAAAUAAUGCUCAAAUUUUUUGGCUUUUGCUGUUUUCAGAGUUCUCUUAUAGCUAUAAGAAUGGUCUUUAAUAUUAGCUCACUAUUUUCAAUAUUUUUCAGAUACUGUUUCUUGAUAUAGCAUACUAUAUAACAUUCUUGAUUUUUUUUUAACUAAAUGUCACUGUUAGACUAAUUUCUGACAGUACCUGCAGGAAACAUCUUUGUUCUUUGAAACAGAAAAUUACAAUAUUAAGAAAGUUGGAUAGAGAGACCCGUAAGCCUGCUUAGGAGCAAAUGGUUUAAAGCAAAAAUAGACCUUAUUCUGUGACUUGAAAGUUACCUAGAAGAGUACAAUUAUAUUCUAAAAAUACUCUAAAUUGUUAACAGUUUUUAAAUUUGAAAUAUGUGGAGAUAUCACUUUGAAUUUUGAAGCUCUGAUUUCUCUCUUGUCAUAUCUAGCAUUAUUAAGCCAAGUUACUUUUAUUCUCUAUGGCUUAAGAUGACACAAAUAUUUUUACGGUGUCAUUUAUUCUCUACUAACUAUAAUAGCUAAUAUCAUUAUUUAUAUUUAUUAUAUGCUGCAUAUUUCUAAGAACAUAACAUGUAGAGUUCAUUUAGUCCUUACAUAAGCAUAUGAUAAUAGUACUGUUUUUUCCCCAUUUUUACAGAUGAGAAAUUAAAUAAUAAAGAGGUAAUUGAUUUUUUCAAGGUCACACAGCUAGUAAGUAUUGGAUCCUUGAUAUAAACAUAGGCAUUCUGACUUCGGGACCCAUGCUUUUAACCACUUUGUAAUUCAGUGUAAGCCUAAAUCAAUAGAUUGUGAGGCAGAAAAAAAUAAGCCUGCAUUUUUCACAGGGUUUUAAGAAACAGUCUUUUGCAGGUAUAUUCAGAAAAGGGAAAUGCAAAAAGAUCCUAUUGGUAACAGCAAAAUGCUAAUAAAAAGUAAUUAGUAAUAGGUGAGUGGAUGGUUAGAAGCAUAUUAACCAUAAAGUGGAGUACUGUGUCAAUUUCAGAAGGGAUGAAGAUUUGUAUAUAAAACUUCAGAGUGAUUUUCAGAAUAUAAAUAAGACAGAAUAAUAUAGGACUGUUCCAUAUGAAUUUCCCACAGACAUCUCAGAUUUAGUACAUCAAUAGCUCCUCAUUGUUAUUAUUUGCACCAGAACUGUACCCAUUUAACCAAAAGUGAAAACUAUGAGCAGUGCAAAACUUCUUCACCUUUGGUCCUCUAUUCAAUUGUUUUUCUCAAUACAAUAAGUUCUACUUUGAAUUUUCUCUUGAUUCUUUUCCACACUUCUUACCCCAGGCUGAUAAUGGCAUUUUUCUGCAUAAAUUUUUCAAAACUAUCUCAUUUUCCUCACCUUGAUUUAAACUUACACUGCAGACAACAGGGCUGAGAGUAUGGAUCCUGAAGUCAGAGUGCCCAUGUGUAUAUCAUGACUUCAGUACUGACUAGUUGUGUGACUCUUUGGACUACAAAUACUCCAGUUUAGUUUUGAAAUACUUGUGGGUCCUUUACACAACAGUUAUACCAUUAUAUGUUAAUAGCAUGCAUAAUGAUAGAGCAUUGUUUGUAUUUAAUAUAUGUAAAUGAGUUAUUAUUUAAAAAUCACACACACAUAUAUAUAAUAUGUGUGUAUAAUAUUUUUUUUUCAUUCGUUCCUUCUUAUACUGCCUCAUGUCUCCAUCAUCAGAGCAAAAAAGGAAAAAUCUACAAGGAUUCUUAUGGGUUGGGACCACAACCACAGCUGUAUUUUAUGCCAUAAAUUCUCUUCAGACCCUUCCCUUUCCUCCUCUAUUCUGUAUAGAAUUUUUUUUUUUUAGAGAAAGAGAGAGAGAAUUUAUAUAUAUACAUAUAUAUAUAUAUAUAUAUAUAUAUAUAUUUUUUUUUUUUCUAGUUUUCGGUAGACACAACAUCUUUGUUUGUAUGUGGUGCUGAGGAUCGAACCCGGGCCGCACGCAUGCCAGGCAAGCGUGCUACCGCUUGAGCCAUCCCCAGCCCAUCUGUAUAGAAAGUUAAUCAAGAGUUUUCUAUAACUUAGUUUAGAACAACUAGAUACUAAAAGAUUUCUUUAAAAAGCUAUAGUCUGUCUCCCCUAGCCAGACAUUUCUCCUUGCUCAGAGGUGACCACUUGUAUUGCUUUGAGCUGAUGUGUAUGUGACUUUGUGUCUUUAAUUAAUACCUUUGCAUUGUUCCCUCAUGACAUUUAUUGACUUUGCACCUCCUCUUUAUUUUCGUCUUCAAAAAGUUGUGUUCUUGUUACAUCAAAUUUUUUGUGUUUUUUAAAUUUGUUCUUUUUUAAAUAAUACAUGACAGUAGAAUGUAUUUUGACAUAUUAUACAUACAUGGAGCAUAACUUACUUUAAUUAGGAUCCCAUUCUUAAGGUUUUACAUGAUGUAAAGUUACACAAUAUUCUACAUCAGGUCGUGUAUUUAUAUAUAAGGAAAGGAAAGUUAUGUCCAAUUCAUUCUACUGUCUCCUAUUCCCAUCUUUUACAUCAGUUUUUAAUGUUUACUUUAAAAUUCAUAUGAAUUUUAAAGUAUAUAUAUAUAUAUAUAUAUAUUUAUUUUCAGAGCUGAAAUGUGUAGUUAGCUGUAAUUACUUCUUUUUCUGUAUAAUGUUUUUGUAGUUUCUGAAAUUAGUAGUUAUCUUUUUUGGUAUAAGAUUUUGUAUAUACUAAACUCUCUGACAUGUCUUAGCUCAAUGUUUAAACACAUCAGGUGUUCUAUUAUUCAGUUUUCAAGAAGUUUCUUCCAGAGCCAUACUGACUCUCUACUCCCAGCUCCCUUCUUUUCCGGGAUUAUAGUUUUUCUUAUAUGUAGUGUUCUGUAGUUUUACGAUUAUGUUCCUAAUGUGGCUUAUAAGUUUUUAUUUCUGGUAUUGAUGGCAUUUUACUCUGGAAGAAAUCUGUUUUAGACCUUUACAGAAAAUACACUAUGUUUCUCUCCUGAAGCAGUAGUGGGUUGCCCAGAUGUGAGAAGUUCAUCUUUCUGGGGAUCAAACCUGUAGGCAAGUGCUCUACAGCUGAACCAUAUCUCUUGCCCACACUCUUUAUUUCUUAAAUAGACUUUCAACCAGUCAUCUUCUUUCUUGUCUUUAUUUUCAGUCCUUGUUUUCUUUCUUCCAAUUUUUAGCUCCCCAUUUCUCUUUUCUAAAAGUUUGUGGUUCUACUAAUUCCUGUGUUUUCAAGGAGAGAGAAAAGAUAUAUGAGGUGAAUUUGAUUGCUUCUCAGCUUUCUCUAUUGCCAUCUUACGACUCGGCUCUCUCUGAUCUGAUAAGUCAAUUUCCUCUUUAAUUCUUCUCUCCUGCUUUCAUCUUUCAUCCCCUUCAUGUUCUUAAACUUAUGUCCCCAUGCCUCGAACAUCUUUUUACAAUAAAUACUACAAUUUUUUACAAAAAUACUACAAUAGUUUUACUGAGGUUUCAGAAGGAAGGAAGGGAGGGAGGGAGGGAGGGAGGGAGGGACAUUAAAUGAGUAUUAAACAAUCAACAUAUAGCCUUAUUUUUCACUCACAGGUAAAUAGAGUGUCUAGUGACAUCUACCUCUGAUACUCUGCCUACUAGUCUACAUAUUUUCCUAGUUUGUCUCUUUUCUUUCUAGACCGAAUUUUUUUUAAAUAAAAUUUAUUGAGGUCAGAUUUAAUUCUUUUGAAUCUUAUCUCCUCUCUCAGGAUUUGGUAUCUUAUUCCUGGAUCACUUCUUAGAUGAUAUAGUGCUUGGGCCACAGAAAGUUAUAUAUUUUAAUAUUCUGGGUGGCAUUCCCUUCACUUCUGACUCCAAAUUAAAGAACAUUGUCAACCAUUUGUGCUACUUGCUUACCUUGGGAAUGUUUAGAAAUGCUGGUCAUGUUUUUGACUGUAUAGUAUUUGGAGCACACUGUUAUCACUUAAUGAGCAGGGCCACUGGAGGGGCUAAAACCUCUUUAGUGCAUGGAAUAGUUAUGCAGGGUAGUAGUGAUCUUGAAAAGCUCUGCUGGAAGUCACAAAGGAAACCUGGCUCUGCUCUGAGGGUAGUACUUCUCAGCCCUUGUCUGUUUUCAUUCCCACCGCAUAAGUUGGGCUGGAAAGAUAGGGUAGAAGUCCUUCUUGGUCCUCAUUGCUGCUUCCUGACCCCUGUCUUCCUUACUCUGAAAAGAAAUAAAAAUAAAAGCAACAAACAGAAAAAAAAAUUGUACCCCACUUUGAAUUUGAUACCUACCCAUUUUCGUUACAGAGGGAACAUCUCACUAUGAAAAUAAUUUUAUUUCAUGUAUUUAUAUGAAAAGGUCAUACAACUAAUAAUAUUUAAAAGAAAAAAUUUGAUUUCUAAUUUAAUAAAUAUGUAGUAUAUAUACAACCUACCCCUUCAGCUUAUGGAUAAACUUUAAUGUAGAUUUAUUUUUGGACUGUGAGAAUUGAUGUUAAACUUUGCCUUUCGCCAUUAAAAACUGAUAGUUUUUAAAUGCCUUUCUGCCUCUAUUAGUGCAACAUUUUCUAAGGAUUAUUUGUUUAAAAUGGAAGGGUAAGAAUUAUCUUAACAGCGGGCUACCUACAUUGUCACAGUGUGAUAUUAUCAAAUAUAAUUCUGUGCAAGAUUUUUAGAUGUGUCUAAAUAUUAUAUACCUUUUUAAAUUGAAUUGUAGUUUUUAAUAGAUCAUUUUGUAAAAGUGUAUCUAAUGCCAGGAUAUAGCAUACCUCAUGUACUUAUAUGUUUUCUCAAAUUAUGUGUAUGAUAUUUAAUGUAGUACUUUUUCUUUUCUGUGUUUUAAACGAAGCAAAUGACUUGCAACAUUGAAUUUACCAGUGUGCCUUUCUGAUUUUUAGGUUGUGGAAAAUGCCCUUAAAGUGAACCCAGUAUUAGGUCCACAAAUGUUUCAACCAAUUUUACCCAGUGUUUUCAGGGGUAUUAUAGAAGGGGAGGUAAGAUUUUUCUUAAUCUUCUAAGGAUAGUAAUUGGACUCCAUGGUUCUAGUUUUCAUUUUUCUCCUUCAUUGGAAAAUCAUUUCUUCCUCACUGAUAAAUGUAAAAGGAAAGCUUUUCUUAUUUAGAUCAUAUUAAAUUAAGUGCAUUUUCAGGAUAGUUGUGCACCUUUAAUUUUUUUAAACUUUCCCACAUAGACAUCUUUUGACAUCUCUUUCACUCAUGUAUAUGUGUAUUCACGCACAAUGAUUUGAAGUAGAGUAAAAUUUAGUGACUUAAUUCUAGUACCUUACUAUUGAGAAUAUGGGGGGGAAUAGUGCUAGUAUUGUUAUGGACUGAGUGUAUGAAACUACAGGUAUACCAUUGAUAAAUAGUCUUUCUUUUUACUAUACCUCAAUAUAUGCAUAAUAUAUAUCAUCCAUAUAAAUAUAUAUAAAUAUUUUCCAGGUAUUAUGUAUAUCUGGUAAUUUAGUGUGAACUCAGUCAAUGUUGGCAGUUCAUUCUAAAGAGAAGCAAUAUGAAGGAGAAUUUUUUUUAAUAUUCCUGUUGACUGUUACCAUAUCAGUGAUUGUUGAUAAUUGUACUUAUAGCUUAACACAGUUUUUCAUUUGCUGUAUUUUAAUUGUACAGAGGUAUCCUGUAGUGAUGUCCACAUAUCUUGGAGUUAUGGGCCGGGUCCUACUACAAAAUACUAGUUUUUUUUCUUCACUUCUUAAUGAGAUGGCACAUAAAUUUAAUCAGGAGGUAAGAAUUUUAUG